UCACCCCACUGCACUCCAGCCUGGGCGACAGAGCAAGACUGACUCAAUUUAAAAAAAAAAAGAUAAAAAUGGUGCAUCUCUAUAGGGCGUUUACCAUGCCUGGAGCUUGUGGGACUGGAAGUUGCUCUGGAAUCACUUCCUGGCUGGGAAUUGAACCCAGACUGCUGCAGUGAAAGAGCAUAAUGUUAGCUACUGGCCCACAGCAUGAGACUCCCGGUCCUGUUUGUUGCUCAUCCCCAGAUACGCAGCCUGGUCUACAGGAAGAAUUCUAUGUAUAUUUGCUGAAGAGACAAAGAAGGAUGUGGAUGAAUUGGAUGUGGAGAAUGAGAGGAAAGAAAAUGUCAAGGAUGGCUCUAAUUUCUGGCUUAUGCAACUGAGUGGUGCCAUUGAGAGAGACUCUCUCUCUUGCCUUCUUGGUUGGCACACUGGGGAGAAGCGAGCUGCAGCGUUGGAGAGGCCCAUGUGGCAAGGGACUGAGAGCAGCCUCUGGCCAACAGCCGGUAAGCAACCAGUGAGCAACCGAGGCCCUCAGUCCCACAGCAUGUGAGGAACUGAGUCCUGCCAAUGAUCAUGUGAUACUGAAGGAGGGUCUUUCUUUAGCUGAUCCUACAGAUGAGAAUCUAGCCCUUGUGCUGCCUCAUGAGAGACCCUGGAGCAGAGGCCCCAGCUGAGCUAUGCCUGGAUUCCUACCCACAGAAACUGGAAGACAAUAAAAGUGUCGUUUAUGUUUUUUUAUUCUGGUAAAAAUCA